UACGUAGGUGGCAAGCGUUGUCCGGAAUUAUUGGGUUUAAAGGGUGCGUAGGCGGGUAAUUAAGUCGGUGGUGAAAGCAGACAGCUCAACUGUCGAACCGCCAUUGAUACUGGUUAUCUUGAGUAUAGUUGAGGCAGGCGGAAUUUACGAUGUAGCGGUGAAAUGCAUAGAUAUCGUAAAGAACACCGAUAGCGAGGGCAGCUUGCUAAACUAUAACUGACGCUGAGGCACGAAAGCAUGGGGAGCGAACAGG
rnacentral:misc_RNA from 1 species